rnacentral:lncRNA from 1 species
CAUCUCAUUUGUUGAUAUGAACCGAGAUUUGAAACUUCGUCUCAAAGGUAGUCCCGGGGCCUCAAACAUCCAUUUCGAAGACCUUUUGAGACCUUCAGCUCCAACAGAAAAUGAUGUUCGCGAUGGAGAGCCUCCGAUUCUAGUGUUCCUGGAAAAACUAACAAAGCCUAUUAAUGAAAUAUGUGUUCAACUCUCUACAAAAGCAAAAAAGUUAGUCAUUGUUCAUGACCUUAUAAUGAGUGAACAAAUAUUGGAAGUAAAUACAUUGUCGAAUGUCAAAAGUUACAUGUUCCAUACAGGAUCGACUUUUAGCAGAUAUUCAUCCAUCAAACAAACGAUUCCUGACUUAGUUGAUGAUGACGAUGAUCACGUCAAGUUUAUCAAGGAAAUGCAGGAUGAGUUUCCAUUACUGGAGGCACAUGAGAAAUAUUGUUUCCAAAUGGAGCUUGAUGACAAGGAUAUACAUUACUCCGGAGAAAUCAUAAACUCGUGUAGAGAAAUGGAAGGUAAGUACCCAGAUUUACUUGCGAAAGCAAAAGGCAAGCCGUUAUGGGCUUUUGGACCAUUUCAUAUGCUGCUAGAAUCAAACUCUAACAUCACUCCGCGUCAUGAUCAAUGUCUAGAAUUUCUCGACAAGCAAGAGGCCAGCUCAGUGAUAUUCGUGUCAUUUGGAUCAACGACUACAUUAUCACAGGAGCAAAUCAAUGAGAUUGCUCUGGGUUUAGAACAGAGUAAUCACAGAUUUAUUUGGGUACUAAGAAAAGGAGAUAACUCGGAGAAACUUAAAGAGAAAGACGUAAAGAUUGAAUUACCAAAAGGGUUUGAAGAGAGAGUGGAAGGAAGAGGAAUAGUGGUUAAUUGGGCACCACAGUUGGAAAUAUUGGGGCAUUUAUCUACGGGUGGAUUUAUGACUCACUGUGGAUGGAAUUCAUGUAUCGAGAGCAUUAGCAAAGGAGUACCUGUAGCAACUUGGCCAAUCAGUUACGAUCAGCCAUUUAACGCUGUAUUCCUAACGAAUAUGUUGAAGAUUGGAAUCGCUGUCAAGAGUUGGUCUCACCGCAAUGAACUGAUAACAGCAUCAACCAUUGAGAAAUCUGUCAAGACGUUG